UGCCCAGUAGCUCAGCGGUAGAGCAGGUGACUGUUAAUCACUUGGUCCCUGGUUCGAUCCCAGGCUGGGCAGCCA
rnacentral:tRNA from 1 species